CUAAGAGCAUGCGCAUUGGUUCUCUCAGCAGACAAAUUAGUAUAAAAACUAAAAGCAAGAAAGAAAAAGAAGAAAAAUAGAGGUACAUCCCUACAUAAAGAAACUUUGAGCUUGUUAGUAAAAAUUAAUUCUACACGUGUCUGCACCAUAAAUUUUAUGACAUCAAUUUUAGUUAGUUUAACUGUUUUACUUCAGAAUACUAUUAUACUAGGGUAGGUCCGCCCUACGGGCGGGAUAUAUUUUUAUUUGUGAUUUAGAUUUUUGUUUAUUGUAUGAUUUUAUGGUUUAUGUUUUAGAUUUGCAUUUGCAAUUGAUGUAUAUAAUAAUAAUUUUUCUCAUUUAGAAAAUUUUAAAUGAUAAAAUAUAUUACAUUCAUUUUACUUAAUGUUUGAUAUGUUCGUUUGUUUUUCUAACUUGUUUUUGUUUUUUAUUUGUUUUCAACUACAUUUUCUGACAUUAUACUAUUUUGUUAUUAUCUUUCUUUUUUGUUAUAUUUCUUAUAAUGAACACACAUUUUUAUAUAAUCUUCACAUAUGUCUAACUAAACUUCUUUAUUUCUUAUUUUUAUUAGUCUUGUUGGAGAUUAUAAGUUUGUAUUGGCUGACAUGAUUUUCAUGAUUGAAAUGGUAUACAUUUUCUUAAAUGUUUGCUCAAACGUUUUUAUAUAUAGCAAAUAGAUUUAAGUUUUAUUGUUGUUGUUAGGUUUAAUACUCAAAUAUUGGUUAUUAUAUAUUUUAUAUAUAUUGAAUGUAUUUUUUUUAUUUAACACAUUUUAUUUUAAAAUUAAAUUUAAAUAAUUUAACAUGAAUAUAUAAUUCACUAUAAUAGGAAAUUAUUUGUUAAAGAACAGAAUCAGAACAUAAUAUUAAUUAUAAAUACUUAAAUAAAUAUAUGACUUAAUAUUGUGUAUACUAUAUUUAAAGACUAAAUAAACAAUAUUAUCCAAUAACUUAUUAGUUUUUCUAAAAUAAAAUUCACUUGUUAAAUUUUAGAAUAGUUUUUAAUAGUGGCUUCUUUAUAUAUAAGUAAUCUAUUAUAUUUUUAGAGAAAGUUACCGUAUUUUUAUUAGAUAUUUUUGUCUGAUUGAUUAGACUAUCAACUAUCGAAAAUAUAAUUUAUUUUUAUACAUAUAUAUCAUGUUGGAACAAUUUUUUACUAUAACUUUAGAAUGGAGAAGUUUCGGCUGAGGAUUCAAGAGGAGGAAGAAAGGAUGACGCCGAUAGAUGCGGAGCCCAAUAAUUUUCACUUCAGGCCCAAACAUAAACAUCACGUAGCCCACAAAAAAGAUGUUUCACAAUUAAGGUAUAUCCUUAUCUUUUACUUAUUCUACACUCAGAAUAUACGUUUUUUAAAAGUUCAUUAUGAUAACUUUCCUUUAAAAUCAAAAUUUUCUUUUUUAAGCUUUGCAAUCUCCGCCUUCCUUUUUUAUCUUCUUCAUAAUGUCUUGGCAUAAUAUCUUAACAUUUUUCUAUCUAGUCGGAUCUGGCAUGUUUGAAGAAGAUCCGAUGUUGAUUACACAGCCAUCGUGGCCGGCAGCUUCUCCAAGUCUAGUAACAACAUCGAAGAGCCACCACUGUCGCGUUUUGUCUACCACCGCCACUACUGUCGCGUUUUCUCAACCACCGCAACAACUAUCGCGUUUUGUCAACCACUGCAACCUCCGUCACGUUUUGUCAACCACCGCCAUUAUAAUUGUAGCUCCUUCCACCGUUAGGUUUUCAUUUCUUUUUUUUUAACCAUUUUUUUAUUUUUUUCGUAAUAAUUGAAUGAUUUAAAAUAUUAUUUUUUAAUUUCCUUAUAAUGGCUACAUAUUAUGGGGUCACACAUAUAAUGAAGGUAAUUUGGACUUUGGGUAUUAUCAAUAAGUAUCUUAGUACACA